AUUGAACGCUGCGGCAUGCCUUACACAUGCAAGUCGAACGCGAAAGUGGGGGCAGCCCUGCGAGUAGAGUGGCGAACGGGUGAGUAAUACAUCGGAACGUACCCAGGAGUGGGGGACAACCUCGAGAAAUCGAGGCUAAUACCGCAUACGUCCUGAGGGAGAAAGCGGGGGAUCUGCAAGGACCUCGCGCUCAUGGAGCGGCCGAUGUCGGAUUAGCUAGUUGGCGGGGUAAAGGCCCACCAAGGCGACGAUCCGUAGCUGGUUUGAGAGAACGACCAGCCACACUGGGAGUGAGACACGGCCCAGACUCCUACGGGAGGCAGCAGUGGGGAAUUUUGGACAAUGGGCGAAAGCCUGAUCCAGCCAUGCCGCGUGAGUGAAGAAGGCCUUCGGGUUGUAAAGCUCUUUCGGCCGGAACGAAAUCGGGUGCGUGAAUAACGUAUCUGGAUGACGGUACUGGAAGAAGAAGCACCGGCUAACUACGUGCCAGCAGCCGCCGUAA
rnacentral:rRNA from 1 species